UACGUAGGGUGCGAGCGUUAAUCGGAAUUACUGGGCGUAAAGCGUGCGCAGGCGGUUCGUUGUGUCGGUGGUGAAAGCCCCGGGCUUAACCUGGGAAUGGCCAUGGAAACUGGCGAACUAGAGUGUGGCAGAGGGGGGUGGAAUUCCGCGUGUAGCAGUGAAAUGCGUAGAGAUGCGGAGGAACACCGAUGGCGAAGGCAGCCCCCUGGGCUAGCACUGACGCUCAGGCACGAAAGCGUGGGGAGCAAACAGG
rnacentral:rRNA from 1 species